rnacentral:lncRNA from 1 species
GUGGAAAACUGCAGCAGGAUUCUGGUCUUCAUAUUUUAGCCUCCAACCUAGAGGGAUGCUAGGACAAAUAAGAGCUCCGCACCCCCCACCCAAGUGCUGGACUGUCCCGAGGGAGUUUGACAGAAGAAUGGAGUCUAUGGGGAUGGAAGUUGGAAGUCCCUAAGUGUGUUCAUCCAUUUGCACGCCUGUUCUCAGAAGACCUUGGCAGGAAGUAGGAAAUGCCUAACUCCAUAAAACUGGUCAUCCGGUCUAUUCCCCUGCGAAAGGUAGAUUAUUCUGGGUAGCUGAACCCUACACGGAC